rnacentral:rRNA from 1 species
UACGAAGGGGGCUAGCGUUGUUCGGAAUUACUGGGCGUAAAGCGUGCGCAGGCGGCUUCUCAAGUCAGGGGUGAAAGCCCAGAGCUCAACUCUGGAAUUGCCUUUGAGACUGAGUGGCUUGAGUACGAGAGAGGUGAGUGGAAUUCCCAGUGUAGAGGUGAAAUUCGUAGAUAUUGGGAAGAACACCGGUGGCGAAGGCGGCUCACUGGCUCGUAACUGACGCUCAUGCACGACAGCGUGGGGAGUC